UACGGAGGGGGCUAGCGUUGUUCGGAAUUACUGGGCGUAAAGCGUGCGCAGGCGGCUUUGCAAGACAGAUGUGAAAUCCCCGGGCUUAACCUGGGAACUGCAUUUGUGACUGCAUAGCUAGAGUACGGUAGAGGGGGAUGGAAUUCCGCGUGUAGCAGUGAAAUGCGUAGAUAUGCGGAGGAACACCGAUGGCGAAGGCAAUCCCCCUGGACCUGUACUGACGCUCAUGCACGAAAGCGUGGGGAGCAAACAGG
rnacentral:rRNA from 1 species